rnacentral:rRNA from 1 species
AAUAUUGCACAAUGGGGGAAACCCUGAUGCAGCGACGCCGCGUGAGCGAAGAAGGCCUUCGGGUCGUAAAGCUCUGUCCUAAGGGAAGAAACGGACGGUACCUGACGAGAAAGCCACGGCUAACUACGUGCCAGCAGCCGCGGUAAUACGUAGGUGGCAAGCGUUGUCCGGAUUUAUUGGGCGUAAAGCGCGCGCAGGCGGUCUUUUAAGUCUGAUGUGAAAUCUUACAGCUUAACUGUAAGCGGUCAUUGGAAACUGGGAGACUUGAGUGCAGAAGAGGAGAGUGGAAUUCCAUGUGUAGCGGUGAAAUGCGUAGAGAUAUGGAGGAACACCAGUGGCGAAGGCGACUCUCUGGUCUGUAACUGACGCUGAGGCGCGAAAGCGUGGGGAUCAAACAG